UUCCGUCAGAGGAGAGAAGCCGCCUCUCUCCACGGCGCGCGAGGGGCACCACAAGCCCCGCCCCCUCCCCAGUUCAGCGCGUGCUGCGGGGGAACAGACGCAGCCGGCCAAUGAGGUUCAACGGGGAAGGAGACGUCACUAUUGCUACCCCCCUGACAACUCUUUUCUGCCUGUCCAGAGAGAGAGAGAGGCGCCUUUCUGCCAGGCCAGGGCUUGGCCACGCCCAUCUUUGUAAGGCCAAGGGCCCUGCGCCCCCUCAUGGCCCUCGCUGAAGGAUACCGAGAGGCCUAAAGCAUGAGUAGCUCCUCAGCAGCCAGGCUGCUUCCCAUCGCAACGUGGCUCUUUCCUUCCUGCCUGCCUGCACCUCAGUGACGUCACCGAGCUCCUUCACCUAGCAACAGCCAAUCCAGUGGCAUCACAGAGGGCCGCUUCGCCUAGCCAUCCCCUACCAAAAGAUCAACUGUCAUUCGCCAAUAUGAUUCAGAUCCCUGCUGUGUAGAGAUGGUGGCAAAAUUAACAGAAGUCAGAGAAAAAGCAGAACUACCAACACCUUUUUCACCUCAGUCUUCUCCCAAAAGGCUAACAGUGCUCAACUUGGGGAGAAUGGAGCAGAGGAUGCAGUAGAGGAAAUGCAGCAUGGAAGUAAAGAGUCUCAUGCCACCAGGCCUGUAGCAAAAAAAAACAACAAAACCAACAACAAAAAACCCAACAACCCCUCUCCUCAAAAAACGAGAGGGAUUGAAGGCACGCCGCGUUUGGCAGAGCGGUUCUCUUCUCGGCAGUGGCAUGAUGCCCACCAUCCAAGCUUUGUGGCUUGCUAGUCUAUCACAUGUUCUUAUUUCACCAGACACCACGAAGGAGAAGGUUGCUUACCUGUAACCA